UACAGAGGUCCCAAGCGUUGUUCGGAUUCACUGGGCGUAAAGGGUGCGUAGGCGGUCGGGUAAGUCUGAUGUGAAAUCUCCAAGCUUAACUUGGAAAUGGCAUCGGAUACUAUUCGGCUCGAGGAAUGGAGGGGAGACUGGAAUACUUGGUGUAGCAGUGAAAUGCGUAGAUAUCAAGUGGAACACCAGUGGCGAAGGCGAGUCCCUGGAUAACACCUGACACUGAGGCACGAAAGCUAGGGGAGCAAACAGG
rnacentral:rRNA from 1 species